rnacentral:lncRNA from 1 species
CCGGACAAUUAGCUCGGUUGAAGAGAUGCAAGAAAAACCUGACUGCUGAAGUUGACCAAGUAUGUUAACAAUUUGAAUAAUUCCUGAAGUAUUGAUAUCUGUGAGCUGAUAUUUCCUUUUUUUCCCUCAACAGAAGGAUCAAAACCCAGCAGAAUGCAAGCAGCAGUGAAGCAGUGUGUAUGUGGCCUUGAGGAUUACCUGCACUGUAAUAGCCUAAACACAACUAUUAGUUACUUACAGCCUUAAAAAAUGGAAUCAAACACAUAAGAACCAGUUUAAAAUAAUUUUCUGCCAAUAUGUAGAUUGCAGUAAAUCCCCUAAAGCAUGAAUGUUAAUUCAUUGCUACAUAGUUUGGUUCUUGUGAAGAUUAUCAGAACUGUUAACCGAGACCAAUAUUUGUUUAGAGAAAGCUCUCUCCUGAAGAACCAACCAAAGUAUUUUUCAGCCCAGUAGUCUGAACGGGUUUAAGUCUGCUUGCACUAGCUGUGCCUUCAUUACUUUGUUAUAGAAAUGGCAGUGACUUGUACUAACUAGGAGAUGAUGAUGCAUCUUGAAUUUGACUACUUGAGAAGACUAGUAUAACUUGUUUAAUUUCCAAUGAGACCACAUUAAACAUUCAUAACUGUCAGCUUGUUUAUGCUAUGGGUUUUGUAUUUUAUGUGACAUAGUGAUCUACAAAAGAAACCUAGCCAUCAUAUUAAGGUUAUUGUUUACCACGGGGUGUGAAUAAAACCUAGUAUUUUCAGAAGCUAGUCUUGUUUUAUUAUGGUGUGUAUCUGCAUGUGUAAACUGAUAAGGCGUAUCUCAUGCUGCAGUUAGUUCACUAUGCUAAAACAAAAAUUGGGAAUUAUUGAAAAGUAAGUUCUAUAGCGUCUUAAAAACAGUAGUUCGGAUAGAUUUUGAUCCAUACUUUUUAAUUGCAGUGUGAUACCUGUCAAUCCGAGCUAUGUGUUUCAGUGGUUGGUCACCACUGCCAUUUUGAGAAGACAGUUGUUUUUUAGAAGUGGAACUAGGUCUGAUAAAGGACUUGGAUAUUGCCAUGCUGGAUUCUAAUAGAGAAUUGGAUUAUUAGUGUGAAAUCAGGAGCAAAGAAAGUAGUGUGGAUUUCCAGUCUGCACAGAUAGAGCUAUGUUGUCCUGAACAAAAUCUACUUUAUAACCUAAGAGACUGCUAGAACAUCAGGCUGUAUUCUGAUUUGUACUUGGUGUUAAGCAUCUAAAGAGGAGGAGCUAAACCCUAAGGAACUCCCCCUUCCUCGUCUAAUGUUCUGUUCACUGUGUGUGUUUGUAUGAUUUGGUUCAUUCGUUGUCUAUACUGGAUGCUCUCUGUCAGCUGAACCGUGGGCUAGACCUGUCUCAUUAGUUUUGUCUCUAGGAGUUCUCAAUGUGAAUUUGAAUGCAUUCAGCUUGAGGAGAUUAUGAACUGAUGUCUUUCAUGCAAGUUUUUCCCAGUCAGCAGGACACUAAUGUACUCUAGAUUCUUGUUCGUUACAGAACCAUAGAAGUUCUGACCUAAACAAGUAUGCAGAUAACUUUUUGAGGAAUGGGAAGCUCCUCAGGACAGUGGAGAAGUGUUCAGCUAGCUGUGGAUGUGUUUCUACAAUAGCUACUCUUUGCCACUAAUAUAAUGAGGUAGGCAUGAAGGGUUAAGGGACUAAAAAGAGCAGGACAAGCAAGAGGCAAACAGCUAUGUCAGAAAGAGGUUGUGGAGGCCAAGUUAAUCUUGCAAGUUUCUUGCUUAGAGGAUAGGUAAUACGUAACGAAACUUAGCCCAAGUGCUCUUCUUAAUCCUCAGCCCUCUGCAAGGAGGAUGGUCUAGUGUGCUCAAAACUGUUUUAUUUUUGGUAUCUUGAAUACUGUAGUGAUUAAUUACAGAAUUCUUGUCAGAUGUCAUCUUUCGCCUCACCAGAUACCUAUGGAUUUGGGGAAAGGAACCCUUGUUAUCUAUAGCUGUAUAGAAAACAAAUGUCAAAGCUGUGCUCUUAAAUGUUUUUCUGAUAACCUAUACAUCAUAGUAUAGAAAAAUAUAAAAACAGGAGGUGAACUACACUAUCUCUAGUAGUUGUGUCUUAAAGUAGAUGGGGUUGUGGUCUUGUGAUAACAUUAAUCCUGAUAGAAUGUGCAUAUCCUUUCAGACACUGCUGCCAGGUGUCUCACUUGGCUAUCUUUUUCUCUCUUUGAAUGUCUCCCAGGAUUGAGUUAAAACCAAGCACUGUUUGUUUCGACUUGAACUUCAGGGUAUGCAGAGACCAAACUGAUAUUUAGCAGUUACUAAGGAAGGGCUUUGAGGUUCAUACUUCUGGAGCUAAGUAUCUGAAGUCCUUACUUAAAUCUAGCCCAUUUUUCUAACAGUACCUGGCAACAGUCUCCUGGAAGGAGAAAGCACUGUAGGAAGUCCUCUGACACACUUCAAGCUGUUGUUCUUAUGAAAUGUGGUUUGUAUUUAAAUUGCUUUCCAAAUUGCUAUCUUACACAAUGUGAUACAGUAUUUGAAAAGAGGAGUUGAUAAAUGUUAAAGAUCAUCUGUGGACUGCAAAAUCCAGAGCUAUGAAUGCAUGUCUGUGGACAGUUUUUGGUAAGCUGCUCUCUACACUGACUAGCUAGUUCUUGGGCUCAAGUUUGAAGUGCCAGUCCCUGAGGUAUUGGUUUAAUAACUGCUUUGAUGGUUCACACAGUUUCAUGAUCAACAACACUCCUGUUUAGCAGUUCUGAAAGGCAGUAUGGAGCAGGAACGUUAAACUUUCUGCAAUGAUUCGAGCAUUGUGACUCAUUCUUGUCACUUCCUGUGGAUUUAUACCAGCUGUAGGGAAUCUAUUUAUUUAGUAUUCCAGGAGAUUACCUUGUUACCUAACUAGUUCAGGUUAGGAAAAAGUGUCACCAGAAAUUGAAUUUCUUCAUGAGUUGUUGCAAUGCUACACUAGAACUUGAGAUGAGGGUUUUCUGUCCUCUUCUGGUGACUAAGCAGGCUGCGGCUCAUUAUUUCUACACUUCUGGCAACUGUAAGUUAGAUUGUCUGACUUUUCUUAUUGAACUCUUCUAUAACUAGCUUGAUAAGCUUAGAUUUCUUAAUUGGAUUAUUGGAACCGAUGUUUCCCAAGCUAUGUAGCAAAUAGCUUAACUUUUUAAGGUUUUAAGGUUUUAACUAAGUGAAAACGCAGCAGAAUGUGAGAAACUGCAGGAAUGUAAUGUUUUCAUCUUUGCCUUCAAACUGAUAUUUAAACUUUCCCUCUGUUUUAAGUCCCAUUGUUGUAGGCUUUGUUCAUAAAUUAAUAGAGCAUGAGAGCUAAUCAUCAGUUUGUAUGUCUACCCAGUAGUUUUUCUAUUCAGAAAUGUCUGUG